AACUGAAUGCUACCUGCAUAUAGCCAACAGAGAAACCACAACAAAAGUAGCGCUCAGAAUUGUUGUCUGAGUGCCAAGAAAAAGCCCAACAGAUUCGAGUCACAGACAUCCAAAGAGUGAGCCUGAACCUGAACCAUGCCUGAACCUGAGCGACCCUGGCCCAGGCACACAUAUUUUGGGCACAUGCCCCAGGAAAAUGGGGAGAUUUGACUGCCAAUUCAGCACAACAAACUGGAUGGAGAGACACAGCCACCAAUGGUAGGGCAGGGAUGUUAACAACUUUACAGUGACCGAGUUUAUUCAGAACUUUAUCAUGUCAAGGGCAGCUUUUAAUCAUAUAUGUCAGCGCUUCUUCUCUCAACUCCACAGGCAGAAGACUUGAUGCAAUCCAGUGUAUUGAUCAUCACAUGCUCGUUAACCUCAAUAGCAAGUCCUCUGUUUGAAUGGUUGUAUACGAAUUUUGCAAAAUAAACUACAUCCUCGUCCAGACAGUUCCUAUGAGCCUUUCAAUAAGCCUUGAAUUAAGUUUUAUCUCUGUUUAUUAACGAGCACUAAUAUCUCACUGUCUUUCCACUGUGCAGUACUAUUCUAGACCCCUGUCUGUUUUGCUAACUGCUACCAUUUCCUGCUGGCGGCGCAAAACUGUGACAAAUGCAAUGGAAAAUGACGUCAAAGUCACAUCAAAUCUGCCUUGGGCGUUCCCACUGGAGUCACUUUCCAAACGAUCAGAUGCGAGUUGGA